AACGUAGGUGGCGAGCGUUAUCCGGAAUUACUGGGCGUAAAGGGCGCGUAGGCGGACAGUUUAGUCAGAGGUGAAAGCCCAGGGCUCAACCUUGGAAUUGCCUUUGAUACUGGCUGUCUUGAGUUCGGGAGAGGUGAGUGGAAUGCCGAGUGUAGAGGUGAAAUUCGUAGAUAUUCGCAAGAACACCAGUGGCGAAGGCGGACUCACUGGCCCGGUACUGGACGACUGAGGCA
rnacentral:rRNA from 1 species